UACCAGCACCCCGAGUGGUCGGGACGUUUAUUGGGCCUAAAGCAUCCGUAGCCGGUUCUACGAGUCUUCCGUUAAAUCCAACUGCUUAACAGGUGGGCUGCGGAAGGUACUAUAGAGCUAGGAGGCGGGAGAGGCAAGCGGUACUCGAUGGGUAGGGGUAAAAUCCGUUGAUCCAUUGAAGACCACCAGUGGCGAAGGCGGCUUGCCAGAACGCGCUCGACGGUGAGGGAUGAAAGCUGGGGGAGCAAACCGG
rnacentral:rRNA from 1 species